GUACCCCCUUUUUUUCAAUAUCACUCGCUCGAUCUAUACGACUUUAAUGAAAUUAUAUUAUAGACGCCUGUUUACGCCUUCUGUCAUAAAGCAGAUAUAGUUAACUGUUAGUCGAUUGUUGUGAAGAGUACAUGUGCAUUUUUAGUUAACCAAGUUAUAAUAUCGGCCGAAAAAUAAUCCAUCGUUAUUAUUACUAAAACAAUUUAUUAUUUAAUAUUAUUACUUCCAACUAACAGUGAAUGUGUUCUAGAGUAUUCGUUUGUCAUUAUGUUAAAAAAUAAAAACUUGUAAUAAUUUAAACAGGUCAUAAUCUCAAAAUCUGCUCUUUGGGCAAAACGGGGUACCAAUAGGUAGGGUAAAAUGGGGUACCCUUUUUACCAUACCUAUUGGUAGUCUUAACCCUUUUUACCAUACCAAGUAA
rnacentral:lncRNA from 1 species